UCCAGACUCCUACGGGAGGCAGCAGUGGGGAAUAUUGGACAAUGGGGGGAACCCUGAUCCAGCGACGCCGCGUGAGUGAAGAAGUAUUUCGGUAUGUAAAGCUCUAUCAGCAGGGAAGAAAGAAAUGACGGUACCUGACUAAGAAGCCCCGGCUAACUACGUGCCAGCAGCCGCGGUAAUACGUAGGGGGCAAGCGUUAUCCGGAUUUACUGGGUGUAAAGGGAGCGUAGACGGCGAUGCAAGCCAGAUGUGAAAGCCCGGGGCUCAACCCCGGGACUGCAUUUGGAACUGUGUGGCUGGAGUGUCGGAGAGGCAGGCGGAAUUCCUAGUGUAGCGGUGAAAUGCGUAGAUAUUAGGAGGAACACCAGUGGCGAAGGCGGCCUGCUGGACGAUGACUGACGUUGAGGCUCGAAAGCGUGGGGAGCAAACAGGAUUAGAUACCCCGGUAU
rnacentral:rRNA from 1 species